GGGUGGAGCGGUGCUACCUGCAGUCGAAGGCAGCACAGAGGAGCUUGCUCCUUGGGUGGCGAGUGGCGGACGGGUGAGGAAUACAUCGGAAUCUACUUUUUCGUGGGGGAUAACGUAGGGAAACUUACGCUAAUACCGCAUACGACCUACGGGUGAAAGCAGGGGAUCUUCGGACCUUGCGCGAUUGAAUGAGCCGAUGUCGGAUUAGCUAGUUGGCGGGGUAAAGGCCCACCAAGGCGACGAUCCGUAGCUGGUCUGAGAGGAUGAUCAGCCACACUGGAACUGAGACACGGUCCAGACUCCUACGGGAGGCAGCAGUGGGGAAUAUUGGACAAUGGGCGCAAGCCUGAUCCAGCCAUACCGCGUGGGUGAAGAAGGCCUUCGGGUUGUAAAGCCCUUUUGUUGGGAAAGAAAUCCAGCCGGCUAAUACCUGGUUGGGAUGACGGUACCCAAAGAAUAAGCACCGGCUAACUUCGUGCCAGCAGCCGCGGUAAUACGAAGGGUGCAAGCGUUACUCGGAAUUACUGGGCGUAAAGCGUGCGUAGGUGGUCGUUUAAGUCCGUUGUGAAAGCCCUGGGCUCAACCUGGGAACUGCAGUGGAUACUGGGCGACUAGAGUGUGGUAGAGGGUAGCGGAAUUCCUGGUGUAGCAGUGAAAUGCGUAGAGAUCAGGAGGAACAUCCAUGGCGAAGGCAGCUACCUGGACCAACACUGACACUGAGGCACGAAAGCGUGUGGAGCAAACAGGAUUAGAUACCCUGGUAGUCCACGCCCUAAACGAUGCGAACUGGAUGUUGGGUGCAAUUUGGCACGCAGUAUCGAAGCUAACG
rnacentral:rRNA from 1 species